AACGAACGCUGGCGGCAUGCCUAACACAUGCAAGUCGAACGAGACCUUCGGGUCGAGUGGCGCACGGGUGCGUAACGCGUGGGAACCUGCCCUUAGGUUCGGAAUAACUCCCCGAAAGGGGUGCUAAUACCGGAUAAUGUCUUCGGACCAAAGAUUUAUCGCCUUUGGAUGGGCCCGCGUUGGAUUAGCUAGUUGGUAGGGUAAAAGCCUACCAAGGCGACGAUCCAUAGCUGGUCUGAGAGGAUGAUCAGCCACACUGGGACUGAGACACGGCCCAGACUCCUACGGGAGGCAGCAGUGGGGAAUAUUGGACAAUGGGCGAAAGCCUGAUCCAGCAAUGCCGCGUGAGUGAUGAAGGCCUUAGGGUUGUAAAGCUCUUUUACCCGGGAUGAUAAUGACAGUACCGGGAGAAUAAGCUCCGGCUAACUCCGUG
rnacentral:rRNA from 1 species